UGUUAGGUCAAGGUGCAGUUUUUAAAAGUAAAAAAUGGGUUACAAUAUAAAUUAUGAAUGAAUUUUAAUUAUUAAUAUUAAAUGAAAAAGAAUUUAAAAGUAAAUUUGUUAUAAGUAACAUAAUGAAUAAAGAUUCUGAAAUAUGUACACAUCGCCCGUCGCUCUUAUUUAAGGUAAGAUAAGUCGUAACAUAGUAGGUGUACCGGAAGGUGUACCUGGAUUUAAGUAAAUAGCUUAAAUUCAAAGUUUAUUAUUUACACUAAUGAGAUAUUUUAUAAUUUUACUUUUGAUUUAAAUUUAUUACAGAAGAAAGUUAAUAAAUUAAAUAGUAUAUUACUGCGAGGGGGGAGCCUCGCAAUUAAUAUUACUAAAAGAUUUAUUAAUUGUACCUUUUGUAUCAGGGAUAAUUUAAAUUUGUUUUCUAGUAAAGGUUCUCGAAAAAAAAAGAUCUAGAAGGGAAAGGAGUUACUGUUUAAUAAUUAAAUCAAAUUUUCUUCUUGGUUUGAGAUAAAAUUCAAUUUUUUAUAUCUAGUUUCUUUAAUUUUAAAUUUAAUUUAAUAAAUUUUCGUUUUAUGUAAAAUUUAAAAUAGCUAUAAGGAUAAUCUUUUAGUUAAUAUUAUAGAACAUAAAUUUAUAUUUGAUUAUUAGACUUAAAAUUGGUUUAAACUUAUUAAUAUGUUAAAAUAAAUCAUAGUUAUAAUUAAAAUUUUAUUGUUUUCUUUAAGGGGAGUUAAAGAUAUAUAAUUAAAUAAUUUUGUUAUAAAAAAUAUGAUUGAAUUAGUAGAAUAUAAAAAUAUAUGUUAAGAAUUAGGCAAAUAUGAGUUUCGCCUGUUUAACAAAAACAUCUUUGUAASAAAUUUGU
rnacentral:rRNA from 1 species